ACAAAUAUUGCUUAUUAGCACACAACCCCAAAUCUUAACAUGCUUGAGAUUUGUCUUUCUUUCCAACUACAUCCUAUGGAGUCAUGAGAAUUUUGGAAGAUCUUCUAAUUGACAAUCAUAUUGUUUUUAGAAGUAUAUAUCCUAUAUAUGGGUAAUAGAUAACAUCCAACGAACUAAAUCUUAUUUAAGUUCGUUCUUCUCCUUAUGUAGAAAUCUAUUAUCUUAUGAUGCUAUUUUCCUUGAUAUCUUUCAAGGAAACUCAUCUAAAGUGUUACUUUUCCUUGGAUCAAAUCUAAGGAGGUAAAUACUUUAGAUGUCUUACUCAUCAACUUACAUUUCUUGAAUUCUUUGAACAUUUUACAAAGUAUUCGGACUUGUGUUUAUUCAAAACAAACUAUAGUCCAACCGAGAGUAAUCUUCGGUGAAUGUCAUCCAACAUGAGUAGUAUUAUGUUGUGGACAAGUGCCACUAACAUCUAAGUGAAUUAACCUCAACAACUUUGUGAUUCUUUCUUCUUUCCAAAAGAAUAAAGAUUCGAACAUUUCGCCUCUAUACAAUUUUAACAAGAAGGUAUUGGAUCCGGAUCUAACGAUCCAAAGCACCCAUCUAUGACCAACUCGUAAUUUAUGAUUUAGAGGUAUCACAAUUUAGUUGGGAUUAGUCACUACCUUGCAACAUUUUGGGUGUUAAGCAUCAUUUUAUUCUAAACAGUUAACACCACCAUAUUAUCUCUACUAUAGAGACAAUCAAUUAGAUUACCAUGAUCCAAUCAUUGAUUAAUAAAGAACAAUGUUUUGUCAACCAAAACAUUCAUCCAUCUUUACUAUAGUGACGGAAUUAAAUUCCUUAAAAUUGGAAUGUAAAGACAAUCUUUGGUUUUUCC
rnacentral:lncRNA from 1 species